ACCUGCAGCCUCAUGGAUGCUAGUCAGAUUCGUUUCCACUGAGCCAAGACAGGAUCUCUGUGAACUGACAGAUUGUUGUUGUUGCUGUUCAUUGUUUGUCUAGACAAGAAAUUUUACUAAAUUAUUUGCUAAAUUUCAUUCCCAUGCCUUAUUGGCUUUAUUUCUUUUGCUUCUUGCUUCAAGAAGAUUUUCCUUCAAGAGUAUUGUACAAUGUGUAUUAGAUGAUCUGAGGCCUAGUAGUCCCAACAUUAUUUUUUUCACUCUAACGUUUAAAAGAUAAUUUAAAAUAUAGCUUUAACUUUUUUCUUUUAAUGCUUCGUAAAUAGUAGUCCAUCGUCUCUUGCGCUCAGGGCUGCUGAUGAAAAGCCUGGGCUAGGUGUGUUGGUCCCACCUACAGUGUCCAGAGAGUAACUGAGGCCACGCGUGCGAGCAGAUCACCAGCUGGAACGUGAAGAGGGAGAAGAGAAGGAGCCAAGAAGGAACCCUUGAGAAAAGCCAGCAUGUAAGUGGGGGAUGAAAAAGAGGCAUGGGGCGCUGGCUUGAGAAGGAACAGCCACGGAUGGGCAGACACAGCCAGGAGUGUGUGAUGCGACCCAAGAAAGGAGGCCGUUUCCAAAAAGAGAAUGAUGAGCAUCACCAAAUAUCCAAGAGGGCAGCCUAUGGACAAGGUCAGCCUUCAUAAGAAUGGAAGUGACUCCGAGAGAAGAGAAACCAAGCAAGGACACAGAAGCUUCAAGACCUGGGUUUGGGCCGUUGCCGAGAACUAGCUGCGUCUUGGCCUUCCCACAACUUUUUGUCCCGUCCUGUUUUGGAUCCUGAGUCAGUAAAUUCCACUUCAUUCCUGAAGUUAACAUGGGGAAAAUUUCUAUUUAUUGGCACUGAGAGUUCACACCAGCGAAUGAGUAACACAAGUGCACAGGACACAUGAAGCCCUGCAGGAGUUCAGGGGAGGGAGAGUUCUUAGACUAGAAGGCCAGGGACGUUUCUGGCCUUACCUGAGGUGAGACGCAGGUCAGACCAGAUUUGGAGAGCUAGGCAGGCAACCAUCUUGACAAAUCGGAGAGGCAUCUGAAUACGAAGUGAAUAAACUCAAGGUGCAAUUAAAGUCUACACAUAAAAGUCACUAUGGUAGAAAGAAAAAGUGCUUCCCAGACACGUCCAAGUCCCAGCGCUCACAGCUGUGAAUGAGUUACCUUCACAGCAAAAGGGACUUGGCUGUUGUGAUUAACUUAAGGACCUUGAGAUUAUCCUGGAUUUUCAGGCGUGCCCAAGGUAACAAAAAGCAUCCUUGUAGGGGAACUAGGAAGGCGGGAGAGUCAGAGAAGACGUGGUGAUGGAAACAGAAGUCGGAAACAGGGAGACUUGAAGCUGCUCCAUUUCUGGCUUUGAGGAUAGAGGAAGAGGCUGCGAGCCAGGGGAGGCCGUGGCCUGCAGAGACCGGAAAAGGCAAGGAAACAGCUUCUCCCCUGGAGCCGCCAAAGGAAACCACCUGUCAACACGACACCUCAGCCCAGGGAAGCCCUCCUCAGACUUCUGACCUCCCCAAUCUCAAGUCGCCUAGUGCUAGAGAAUGUACCCUGUGUGGACGCCCCACCCGACUGUCCCGCCGGCGCCACCUUAGACUGGGCAUUGUCCUCUCGUCUGGACUGGAGCAGAACUUCAUGACUAGUUGUCUUCCAAGCCACACAGCGGCAGGAGCCCCCAGCCCCUGACGAGCCCACCCUCCGCGUGCUGCUGGAGUUCUACACAUCCGUUCACUCUAGCUGGGUCUUGUCCUUUCCUAAAAGCUUUCCAAGGUUCUGCAUCAACUCCACAGUUGACGCCAUAAAGUCUAUUCUCGUUGCAUAUGGCAUUUCGGGUCUUUCGCAUAAGCUCCUGAGAACUAGAACUGUGACCUGGUUGCUACGCAAUCCUGACACCUGUCACAGGGCUAGGUAUGGAGUGAUUACUGAAAAAAUUUUAAAAUAAACUUCUCUAUUUUUCCAGCAUCCUCUCGGGCCACUCCUCGCCUUAUCUGUAACAAUGCGACACGCCAGACUUACCCCUGUUCCCCGGAGAGUCGAUGCUCUUUCACUGGCAUGGCUAAAAUCCUGUUUUCUCUGGCAGGACUGCCUGCCGCCUUCCUUGUUACUGGGAAAGCACAGUCAUCUGUCAAAGUCCUGCUUGGGCACUGCUUCUGCUUCAAGUUUUCUCUAACCACCUCCUACCUGCCCUUCUUCCUCCCUCCUUCCUUUCCUUUCGGGAAUAGCUAUCCCAGGGGUGUGAGGUGACGUCUCAUUGGGAGGUCCCUCGCGUUCUGGACAGCACUUCUCUUCCUGGUCACUCUAAGUCCUCUCUAUGUCACAUGCUUUUCUUGAGUCUUAAAGGAAAAUUUCUUUGAAGUCAUAUGGAAGAGUGACACUUCCUAGAGGAUAACCUUCUCUUCAUUUAUGCAUAAUGACAUAGCAGGGCUGAAAUAUUUGGUGUCUUGUGGUUAAUACACAAAAUUCACAUUUUUCCUACUAUAUUGACCCUAAAUUAGUCUUUGUCUCCUCUUGGCGUGAGUUCAUUCUGACCUACUCUGUGUCUUCACUCUUUUAAUCCAGCUGUUCAGACAACCCUGCCCAAGAAUCACCAGUACAUUAAUGAAGAAACAUGCUACUUACAAAAUGUGUUUUCCAAAAUCUAGGGGCAAAUUUUAAAACAUUUUGCAUUAUGCUUUUGAUGUUUUCUCCCUUACAGAUAUAUUCCCUUUAAUCAUCAUCUCAAGGAAAUUUACUUUUUAAAAGGAAUGUAAUAGAUAUUUUAUUGACUUGUGUAUGAAAAAGGUACUUUCCUAAAAGAAAAUUAAAGUUCAUCUGUUCUGUAACAACUUUCUGAAUAAAAUACUUCAAAGUAUUUCCAACAUGUUAAAAGUUUGCACUCCAGGGGGAAAAUGCAUUGCACAAAACUAUGUAUCUCACCAAAUAAGGAGCUCAGUGAUAACUCUGAAGUUGGUUACAUGAAGCACGUGUGUAUAAAAAGAAGAAAAACAAGCAACCCAACUGAGAAUUAGUUGAGCAAGCAGUUCAUUGAAAGAGAAAGCUCCCCUCCAAACCAUCACUACCUAGGGUGGUGGGGAUCAUCCAGGAAUAAGAGAAGCAUCUGAGCAAGUUUACUAGAAGAUUUAGAAAGUUUACUAAGACGUUAAUGGAAAAGCUGGCUCUGUACCAAGAACCAAGGCCAUGCUACCCAAGGAAAUGCAAAGAUGUGAAUGUCUACCAAAGAAACUAGGUUAAGCAGGAAGGGUUACCUGAGCGCCAGGCCAACAGCUUCAACUUACUUUACUUUAUCAGAGAGCUAAUUAAUAACAUACAAACUCAAAAUAUGUUAACUAUGGUUAAUAGGAUGAGAACCGGUGCUUCUCACAAUAUCAUGGGCAUAUGUGUCUCCUGGGAAUCUUGGUAAAAGUAGAUUCUGAUUCAGUAGGUCUGGAAUUUUCUUCCGAGAUUCUGCAAUUUCUAACAAGCUCCCAGAUGAUGUCAAUACAAGUGGCCUAUAGUCCACGUUUAAACAGCAUGAUGUACACGCAUUCUUAAGUUCUGGCAAGUUGGAUGGAAAUUGCAAACUCUGGGACUUUCUAUAAACGUCGUGCUUUUCUGAUAAAAGAGCAGACGUUGUAGGCCACCACAUUCCUCUGCUUACAGCACGGAUGUGGGGCCUGCAGCUGCUGCAGCCAUUCGUGAUCCUGAGAGAUAACUCACAAAUCCAAGGCUGGUGGAGAGGAAAGCGUGUGUCCUUGAUGCCACCGAGAAGCCACCGCACCAACCCUGGACUGCUGGUCAGCGGGAAAACAAAUCCCUGUUUUGCUCAAAGCGCCUAGUAAUUAAGCUGUAUAACUGCGAACACUUCUGGUGACUACAUAUGCGCUAACCGUGAAGUAUGGACAGCAAAGCCAGCAGGACGGGGGUGGGAGGGGCAGCAAAGGGCUGAGCCGGGCUGGGACGCGGUCUUCGCAGGGCACCUGCACAAACAUCUCCUCCAGCAACAAAGUACCAAGACUACAAGGGACUAAAAAUAACCGCAGGUAUGCGCAGUUGGAACAAAUGAGGAACAAGAUACAAAAAGAUAAAAAAAAAAAACUAACGCCACUUCUGAGGAGCUGGGGGCAGAAGCAGAGUGCCGUGCAUGCACCCUGCACACACACCAUGGGGGGGGGGUCAGACCUAGGCCCCCCCUCUGGCCAGACCCCUAGACCCACCCCCGCCCUCGCCCCGAAUGAGGAACCAGCUAGCCCAUGCCUUAGGGAGUGAGCGAGGUCACCUGUUACUUGUUUUCUCUUCCUAGUACUGGAGCAGGAGCCCCAGUAAAGCCCUGACUGAAUUUCUUGUCUGGUCUUGUAUCCAUUUCUAUUAAUGAAGGAGGCAGGAACCCUGGUCAGUAAGGACACCGGGUAAUCCUCUGAGAUAAGCUCCUUGGAAGAGGUAGGCGUCUACUGUAGACCCGUGACUCCCCACUGUCUCAGGCCUGAUCCGGCUUCUCCAUGUCGAAAGAUGGUCAGGGGUCUGCUUUCCUGACGCACUGACAUUUGGGCAACGUGCAGACGGUACCCUCGGUGCCCCACAGGGAGACACACCCUUAAUUCGUUUACGUCUGAUAACUAUUCUUCAAGACAGGUCAUUAUCCUCACUCUUGAUGAGGAAGUUGAGGCACAGAGGUUAGGUAGUUUAAUAGGUUCAUCCGCUGACUGAUGAUAAACCUGGGGUCGGAACUCAGGCAGCACAACUCCAAACCCUGCAUUCUUAACCUCUUUGUCUUAGCGCGGCCCCUCAAGAUAAGAGCCUGGUAUCUGCAGCUUGGAAAAGGAGCGCAUAUGCGCAUGCGGAUUUGAACACCCAUCUCAGUAAACCUGAGUCUCCUGAGCGUCUUAACCCCAAGGUUGGAAAUCACUCUCCUUAAGGCUGCCAUCAGCGUGUCCAAGCUUGCAGCUCCACGUUAUAAACAUGUGGAGUUCUGAAGCCUCGGUUUUAGGCACAUGUUCCAUAGAGUUAUGAAUGGCUAUGACUAUAAGCAAUCACUGCUAGAAAGUGAAUAUUCUAAUUAUAAAAUAAUCCUGGGUCAUUUUAAAGACACUUUCUUAAUCGAUCAGGAAAAAGCCCUCUUCGUCUUCUCACUGGGGCAAGUGCGUGGGAUUUAGGUCUUUAUAUUAGAAUUAAAGUACAGGUACAGGCCAUUUUAUACCUCUGUGGUUUUGGCCUCUAUUUCAAACAUAAUCUUAGUACUUAUUCUUCCACCGUAAAAUAAGAAAAAAGUAAAUUUAAAUUAAAAUGAGAUAAAAUAAAACAUUAAAAUUCUAUGCAUUCUUUAGGUCUAAUCUUAAAUGAGCCAUUCCCUGACUCCACCUCCAGCCCUGACGCAGAAUUCUUUGCUGCUUCCUCCCUGCUAUCAUAUGCUUUUAUUACGGCAUUUAUCAGACUGUAUUGUGGGCCUUCACAGGUCAGUCUCUUUCACUAAAUAGUGGAUUCCUUAAGCGCAAGCACUUUUUUAUCUUCUGAGCUUAUCACAAAGCAAAUAUUCCAUAAAUAUUCAAGGGAGUUGUCUGAAGACUAUACGAUGUGUUACAUAAGAUGUUUUGCCCAGGCGAGAUUCCUCACUCUCCUCAAUUAGAGAAAUAUACGUCUUCUGGGUUAGGAAAUAAAAUUGCAAAAUAUGUGAUGAUUUGGUUUUUGCACUGGAAUUUUAUCUUUUUUUUUUUUGUAUUCUUCUACAGAUGCAACUUUGAACAAGCUAUUAAGGCCCAAUUUUCUCAUUCAUAAAAUGAGAAAUGGGAUCUACUCAUGGGAUUCUUGAGAGGAUUCAGUAAGUUAAUAGAUUUAAAGCAUGUCAUAUAGUGCUUGGCAUGUAGCAAAUGCUUAAUUAAUAUUAGCAUUUGACAACUGAGGGCAUGACCCUCUAUCUUAGAAUGGAUUCACCAGAAGUAAGCCCUGAGACAGGAAUCAUGUGUAAGCAAUUUACUAAGGACGUUCUCAAAGCCGAAGUGGCCAGGGAGGAGAGAGAGAGCACGGAAAGUGGGGUGAUGACCACAAACUCUGUCCCACGGAGGUGGCGUCGGGCUCAUCCCAUGGGGCCCUCCAGCGUGUAAAUUACGCCUUGGGACCUGUCGCAGCCUGAAGCAAAGGGCACUCAUCUGGGAGGACGUAAGCUACCUCUGGCUCUCUCUGCAUAGACGGACAAAGCGGCUCCAGAGCCCCAGGGCCAUCCUCCGGAGAAGAGUGGCAAGUGUGAGCUACUCACCGUCUCUGGUCUCUGCUUCAUCAUUUGCAGAUGGAGGAAGAUAAUGUCCACACCAAAGAGUGAUUAUGAAGGCUAAAUAAGUUAAUGCAAAGUCACAGUAAGAGUAUCUGACGUGGGUGCUUGAUAAAUAUUAGUUCUCCCUAAUCUUUAUAGGAUUCCAUAUAAUUAUAUAUAUACAUAUAAUUUCAUGUAAUUAUAUGUGUGUAUAAAAUGGAUUGUAGAGACCACUAUGACUAUAUUAAUCUGUAAGUACUUGCUCCAGGCAUAAAAUUCUUUGGACAGACUUUCUCUUGAAAGCUAUAUUGUUCAAAGGGUUUUUUUCUCCUUUGUUCUUCCAAUUCUCCUGAUUACACAAAGAAAAAUUCUUUAAUUUAGGAGUCAUAUGUCACAACAUUUAUGUAGCAUCUGCUAACAUUACGACUCCUAAAACACCGGGUACCCGGAGACCAGGGUACAGCUGGUAUGGUAUAACAGCAACAGAAGCAGCAGCCAGGGAGUCAGACGGACUGGCUCGCUGUGGGCGAGAGGAGAGUCCCACUGGGCGGCGAGUCAGAUGUCACUUCCCUUCCCGGGACAUGUGUUGCCAUCCACAACCAGACGGCCUCUCAGGUAGCUCCUAGCUCCGGAAUUCCAGCAGCAGCUACCCCAAAGCUCAGCUCCUCACUCCUGCAGUUUGGAGGAUUUCCUGCGUUGAAACCCUGUUAUUCUUCGAAGGACAGGGAAGUUCAGAAAAGGGAAAUAGGCUGGACUGGUCAGAGAAACCUUCACAGGAAGUAGAAUUUAAGCUAAAUACUGAAGAAUAAGCAGAAACUAGAAAGGUGAGUGUGGUCAAGGGUUUCAUAGUGGAAAGUAAAUUUUUUCCACAAAAUAUGAGUAUACCUACUGAUUAGAGGGAAGACUUACUACAGGCAGUGUUUGGGAGCCCAAACUGGAAACUAUAAAAUGACCAGAUUUUGGUGUAUUACGAAGCGCAAGUAAAGGCUGUACCGUAUUCUGAACGAAAAGAUAAUCCCCUGAAGACUUAGAGAAAGGAAAGACGGCAUCGUACCGAGACAAUUCGGGGUGUGCAAAAGGGGUUGGAGCUGGAAAACCGGGUGACCAAGAAUUCUGUAAGGAGGCUGCCAGAUUGCCUGAUUGUGAGAUGAAAAAUCUUUGCAUAUUGGAGGUUUUUUACCAUUUGGUGAACACUGUAAAGAUAUUAGUUGAACAGGGCAUAGUUCCUCUAAUCAUGAGAGAAAAUGAGUCAUCUCUGACUGUUCAUCCCACAUGGGGAACCUGCAGGCAGACUUCCUUGUGUUUAUAUUAAGACUGUGUAGCACUUUCAGCCGUAAAUACCUUUCCUGAUCCGAUCUGAAUGUGACAGUUUGGGGGCAGGAGCAGGAAAGAGCUAAAGUACUACUCUGUAGAACAGAGAAAGCAUUUGGAGUCCCAGGGAUUUAACUAUCCUGAAAAGAAUGGCUGAGAAGCAGAGCGGGAAGGAGAAAGGAGGAAAGCCGGUCACUAAGCAGUAAGAGCGGCCACGAAGGACCCCUUCACGCUGGGAUGUUUCACGAUCACACAAGGAUGUGUCAUUUCAUGAGGUUCCCUAUUUAAUUAAUGCAUGGGGCUUUAAAAUGACAAACAAUCCCAGCGACCUCCCUGCCAGAGUCUGGAACUAAUUUGAAAAUAGAUACAGGAGUCAUACAUACCAACAAAAUACUGAGUCGAUCAGUGGUGAAAGUGAACUAAGAAAUAUGACUUGACCGAAAGCCACAGUUGGGAUUUCUAACUUGGAAAGACCCUGCCUCCACUUUCCCCAAAGCACAGUCUUCAAGGCAGAUCCUGAGACCUGACAAGGUCGGCAGGGAACUGACCGCAGCCUCACGCAAACUGGACACCAGCGGCAGGGAGAGCCUGCUCCCACACCCGCCCUUCUCCUAGAGGCCAGGAAAGUGGUCCCACCACGGUGUGCUCGGCGCGAGGAUCUAGAGCAGCACACACUGGGCACGCUGGGCACGGGAAGCCCAGAAAAGGAGGAAGGCGCAGUGCCACAGGGUGAAUUCCAACCCCCCGCCCAGUUCUGCGUUGCUAGUGAGUACCACAUAGGUAACAGGAAUGCAGGGCUGCCUUCGGGAAAUCACAGAAGCAACUCGGCUUUGCAAUUCAGAAUGAAGCUCUUUUCCUUUUGUAAAUGAAGAUAUUACAGACAUCGUUCCUUCCAGGAAAUCGAAAGUCAAAUCACAGUUGAAUGCCUGCCUCUUUUCACAAGGAAAGAAACUGGCUGUUACUGUCUUAUCGUGUGACCAACUCAUGACCUAAAAGUCCCGUGACAGGCGACCUCUGUGUCACCGUGGUAACCGGAAGGCUGACUCUCCCUGGAGAGAAGUCCCUGCUGUUUACUAAGCUCCCAGAGAGGAGGAGCGUCUGAGGCGGGAGGUUAAUACGGAAAAAGAACCUUAAAUUAACAUCCCACUGUCUUUACUUGGCGAAUUGCUUCUCCCUUCGAGAAAUAUGAGAUUUCCCCACUCGCUGAUAAAUGUAAAACGUUUCCUCUGUGCCUCUGGGAAAACAGUGUGACCCAUUCAAAUGUGCACCCACCACGGCUUAUAAAUAAAACAGAAACAGUAGAAGAUGGAAUUAUUAACAUGGUAAAGGUAAGUUCUCCUCUAAAUGCUCACCCAUGCUGUUAAACCUAUAGAAUAGAAAUGGUUACCCAUAGGAAUCUAUUUUUUUUUUUUUUUUUUUUGUCUUUUUAGGGCCACACCACGGUAUAUGGACAUGCCCAGGCUAGGGGUCAAAUCUGAGCUGCAGCUGCCAGCCUACGCCACAGCCACAGCAACGUCAGGUCUGAGCUGCGUCUGUGACCUACACCACAGAUCACAGCAACGCCGGAUCCUUAACCCAAUGAGCAAGGCCAGGGAGUGAACCUGCGUCCUCAUGGAUUUUAGUCAGAUUCGUUUCCUCUGAGCCACAACAGGAACUCCUGGAAUCUAUUAUUAAUCAAACUUUACCAACCAUUUUCCUAAGUUAUUAUCUGAAAACUAAGCAAUAAAAAUAUGUAUUUUGAAUAAAGAUUUUUAUAUGUAAUAAAGGUAUUAGGUAGAAACAAUUCGUCGUAAUUACAUAUGCAAAAAUUUUAAACAAUUUUGAAUACUCCAUAUAUCAACCUAGAGUUCUUAUACAAAAGUGAAAUAAAAAUUAGCACAACCAAAUCCGAAAUUACUGUAUGAUAUUUGAGGACACAGGGAGGAUUUAAGGAAAAUAACCACAGCAUUAAAUGUUCAAAAUUCCACAAUCCAGGGUAAAAUUAAAGAGGAAAUCAAAACUAAAAUGAAAAUUAUGUAUCAAUAAAUGACACAUAUCCCAGUGGAACAAAGCACUGUCUAUUUGGAGCUCGAUAUAUUGAAACUUGUGGAUGUGGCCGACACAGUAUUCCAUGUACUUCUUUCACAUCUACUCCUACACAAUAAAAGACAAAAUGAACGAGGAAUCAACUUGAGAAUCCAGAAAAAGAGCUGUAUUAUAAAUCUAAAAGUAAGGAAAGCGAUAACUAAUAAUAAGAGAAGUUAAUGAAAUAAUAAGCACCAAUAACAACAGUAACCAAAAGCAGUAAAAAAUAAUUUUUAAAUGUAUCAUUUCUGCGGCUAGUACGUGUAGAGGAAAAAAUCUUUCUCGUAUAACCCCCAAACUGAAAUCUAAUUGCCUGCACAUGCGCAUCAAUCAGAGAACUCUCAGGUUGGAGUUAUUCUGCACUUACAACUACAUCCCUCCUCCACGAGAGCCAGUCACUUCUCUACCAGUCACCGCCCAGGCUUCCUGACCUCACCCCCAACCACCGCUGGCACAGUCGUGAUGCUCACGUCCCAUCACGCGGUUUGCUUAAUAAACCUUUAGGGCAACUCACUUCUAAAAAGCGGUAUCAUUAUAACGACACUGUCGUGAAAUUACAAGUCUGACGUGUUGGGCAACAGCUAAAUGUUUUCAAAGCUCCUUUUGGCCCAAUAAUAGACAAGGACGUGCAACCGUUCUGAGUGCCCUAAGUGAGCUUAUUCCCCUGAGCAUGAUUUAACUUUGACCCGCUUAGCACAAGAAAUCCCCUUUCUGAUUUUUGACCAGCCAGCCUUUGUCCCAAAUGCCUACCAGAGGUUGAGUUGAUGUGGCCCUUGUGCCUGGGCAGCCAGCUGGAAUCUGGAAGAGGCCAACCAGCUGUGGACGGUGAUGGCUCUGAGUUCCUCACUUCCUUCUUGGGAAAGGGUAUUAGAAAUUCAUCAAGGGAGAGAGAAGGAAAAUAUGCCAAGGGCGUUCAGUCCUCUUAAACCCCGAGGAGGCCCCUUUUUAGACCCCACAAAGCGUCAUUCCCUUCUGUGCUGUCAGGAACGAGUAAAGGAGACUUCAUACAUAUUUGCCUGUUUCAUGGGGCUGCAUGUCCAGUGCUCAGAGGGGGCUUUUCCCAACGUCUCUGGUAAAGAUGAAGGAUCUCUCUUUCAACCUUCUGACCAAGAGUUUCCCUAUGUUAUUGAAGGAGCAAUGGUACCACAUUGCUAUACGGUAGUAAUUGACAGAGCACUGUAGAUAAGCUAUAAUAAAAACUUCUAAAGAAAUAACUUACAUGUCCCCCAGACGCAACAGAGGACCUUUCUCCAACGUUUCAAAGAUCUUAAACAAGUUUUUCUUCAGGCAGUGUGAUAUGUUGUCAUUUGAGGUUAAAAUGAUAAUCAUUCACUAAUUCAGUCAGCCCAUCAGUCAAAAAAAUUUCCUGUACACUGACCCUAUAGGACGAGAACAAGCUUGAUUUUUUUGAAGCGGGAUUUCAAGGAAAGGUAGGAAGCACUAAGAAAGGAGUUAAGAACCUGAACCUUGGAGUUCCCGUUGUGGCUUAGUAGUUAACGAAUCCGACUGGGAACCAUGAGGUUGCGGGUUUGAUCCCUGGCCUUGCUCAGUGGGUUGA